AGGACGAACGCUGGCGGCGUGCUUAACACAUGCAAGUCGAACGGUAAGGCCUUUCGGGGUACACGAGUGGCGAACGGGUGAGUAACACGUGGGUGAUCUGCCCUGCACUUUGGGAUAAGCCUGGGAAACUGGGUCUAAUACCGAAUAUGACCAUGGGAUGCAUGUCUUGUGGUGGAAAGCUUUUGCGGUGUGGGAUGGGCCCGCGGCCUAUCAGCUUGUUGGUGGGGUUACGGCCUACCAAGGCGACGACGGGUAGCCGGCCUGAGAGGGUGUCCGGCCACACUGGGACUGAGAUACGGCCCAGACUCCUACGGGAGGCAGCAGUGGGGAAUAUUGCACAAUGGGCGAAAGCCUGAUGCAGCGACGCCGCGUGAGGGACGAAGGCCUUCGGGUUGUAAACCUCUUUCAGCACAGACGAAGCGCAAGUGACGGUAUGUGCAGAAGAAGGACCGGCCAACUACGUGCCAGCAGCCGC
rnacentral:rRNA from 1 species